AAAUCGUCGAGAAAAUUCCUGCAUAAUUUAUUUGGCUGCAUGGCUUAAAGGGUUCAUUCUGCUCGCCACAACAAUGCUCGCAGCCCUCGCAGGUACAUUUCCUUUAAUCCUUACCGCCUCGACGUCCCCGACCCCCGAUUACUCACGAAAGAGCCAUGUGACAUCACGAUUUUACCCGAUCGUACCCGAUCGUACCCAGCGCCUCUACUGGCAAAACGCUGAACUCUGAUUUUUCGCUCUCCCAUAAGAGACAAAAUUUAACCAAGGAUGCUCUCUCUGUUUAUUCAACUCUGUGGGGAAAACUCUUAGGGCAAGAAGUCUAUGAAUACUUGGGAAUAUAAGUCAACCCUUUUGAGCUCAGAUGCGUAGAUAUAACCCGCAGUCUGUCAUCAGUUGGUCAGCGAAAUUACCGGCCUCAAAUCUCAAAUAGUUGCUUCAAAAAUAGGAGGUUCAUCAAAAGGGACUAAAGAUUUUGCUAUGAAUUCCAACAAAAUGCAAGAAAUUGAUUCCACAGCGCCUUUUAUCUUCCGUAUGGAAUCAAGGUAAAUUUAUUGUUUCCCGCUAUAAUGCCUUAAAUUGAUGUAAAAGCAUAAUGGAAAAGUUAAAGUAUAUUUAAUAAUAUACAAAAAUUGAUUGGUUAUUAAUAUUAUACCUUAAAUUUCAAGAGAUGACCAAGAAACUCUUCAUUCCGGAAUCUGCUCAUGCAAUACAUGGUGCUGCCGGUGGCAAGGUUAGUACACGUGGUCCAUAUGCUGGAAACGGCAUAGUUAUUCGACGUUACCAUGAUGCUGUCCUCAAAACUCUCCACCAACAUUCCUCUAUUAAAAAAUUACUUUUAACAAAAAUAUUUUUAAUCAACAGACACAACAGACUCAAAAGAUGCAAAGACACUGACGACAUUUUUGUGGGUGUGAAUCACACCUUUUGGUAUACCCGUACUACCACUUGUAUUGCAGAUAAACAAGACGUCCUUAUCCGGGUCAAUGUGCGUUUCAGCCACGUAUGCUUAAAAUUUUAGAUCAUUUUUUUUUUAAUUGGAUUUUUUUGAGGCGAGUCAUAUUUUUACCCAUCCCAUCGUCUAGAGCCAAUUCCGAAAAACUGACAACACCUUCAAUGGAUGUGUCACCAACAUUUAUAAUAUUGCAAUUGUCCAAUUUAGCAAUGAUGAUGGCUUGUUUGAUUGAAUCAAACGUGAGUGAAUCAACCGCUACAAAUUUGCAGUCAAUUUCUUGCAUCAGCCUUGCAAAUUCCUCUAUUAAAAAGCUGCCUCUGGUCGCUCCUCCCAAAAGCCAAACGGCCAACUGCAGGACGCUCAAGUCCACUAUAUCGUAGGACACGAAGUACAAAACGUCGCCCUUUGAGAAGCCCCUCUUGGCCAAAGCGCUCGCCACUUUCUUCGACCGCUCCUCCACUUCACCAAAUAAAACUUCCUUUCCCGUACACACAUCGAGCUUCAUAAAAAGAGAAAAUAAAAUUUUAAAAAAUGAUCUCAACAAACCUUUAAAACUUUUUCACCAGCCAAGGCUUCUCAGCAACGGCGUGCAGAUUUUUUCUCGCGCGCUUAAACAGAUAAUCUGUUAAGGAGCAAUUGGGAAUCUUGCUCGCAUCAUAUGACACAGGUGAUUUGAAAAUCUCUCCCAUCGCGAAGGAGCUGACGUGUGCACUCUCAGGUGCGCCGCUAUCAAAUAUCGAAUGUGCUCCUUCUGUGUAUGUCGCAGAUUAAUUUGAUGUAAUGAGAUGUCUUGCGUCUUAUUUUGCAGUUAAAUAAUUAACCAAGGUCACCAUGAGUUUAAUCUUUUAAGGCACUGAUAUAGGGGGUCGAAAUAUUUCUUUUAUUCUUUUAAACUUGGAAUAAUUGAAAAUUGGUAAAAUUUAAUUUUUCUUUCUGGAAUUGAUACUGAAACUAAAUAAAAAUUUCAAGGGUGUUACGUAAAAGUUUUGAUUGCAUAGCAGCUUUCUGAUAAACGGGGUGAGACCUGAGACGCUAAGAAAAUUGCAACAAAAUACAAACCACAAUUUCUUACUUGUUGCUAAGCAAGCACAAUUCAAAAAGUUUUAUUCAUUAUUUUUUUAGAGAAAGUUUGGGUGCCAUUUUUUUUCUAAAAUAAGUAGGUGUUGAAAUAUAGAAUAAUAUUUGAUAUUUAUUUGCAUAAUUUUCUAACAAUAUAAAAUAAAAAGUAAAUAAAAAUUGCGUGAAAUUCUUAACUUGGCAAGGGACAUAAAUAUGAGUACAUAUCAAUAGCUCCAUUAGCUGUGAAGGGGCACAAUGGCGUACUCGUCUGCACUUCAUACAAAUAAUCAUAUCACCUCAAAACAAUAAUAUUCUCUCUUAUCAGUUGCUGACUCAUUCCAUCACAAUAAUUUAUUAAUCACAUGACUAUUGCCAACCACCACUGAUAAAUACUAACUAAUAAGCCAACUAUUGCACUCUGGCCAGUUAUAAAACCAUCUACGCUGCGUGUUUAAUUGAUUUAAAAAAAAUCAUUUCUAUUGUUGAUCUGCUUUUUCCACUUGAUUCAUAAUACUGCUCUUACUAUUAUAGUUUGCGCUGAAUGUCCAAAAUUCUUACAAUUUUGCUCCGUAAAGUUUCAUAAUCGCCAAUCGGUCCAAUUUUCUGGUCUUGUUUUCUGGAAAUGAAUCGACAAAUUGUAGACCUCCAUGCAAAUGCUUAUAGAAUGGCAUCUUGCUGGACACAAGCGUGAGCAAUUCUUCCUCUGUUGCAGUUUUUCCUUCUUUCAAAACAACCAAACCUUUGGCCAGAUUAGUAGUUUCGUUGUUCGGCACCCCAAUCACGCAGGCCAUUUCAACAGCAGGGUGCUCUUGGAGCACUGCUUCAAUUUCUGUUGGAUUUACCUUUAAAUUUAAAAUGAAAAUUAUUCAAAAUAAUCAUUAAAAUUAAAAAAAAAAAAUCGUAUUGAUCAUAAAAGUUGGAAAAUUCAGUCGAUUUAAUGUCUAACAUAAUGCGAAUGCGACAUUAUAAAAUAAUUGAAAAACUUACAAAAUGCAUGUAAUAUUUAAAAGUGAAGGAGACUCUCUCCCUGACAAAGAGUUGGCCUAAAGCGUCAAAAAAUACUACGUCUCCUGUAUUGUACCAUCCUUCUUCAUCAAAGCAAGACACGUCUGGCUGUGUGUAUUAUUUUAUUUUUACAUAAUAUUAUAAAUUUAAAGCGUCGAUCUCAUUAAUUAUUUUUUGUAUCACCUCUUUAUCUUUUCUCAAGUAGCCUUUUGCCAUAUGCUUGCUGCGCACCCAUAGUCUCCCUACUUGAUUUCGUCCAAGUAGCUCUCCAUUUUUCAAGUCGGUGACCUUUGAAUGUAAUUUUGCUCACUUUAUAAACAGAUAUUUUUUUUUAAUUAUCUAUACCUUAGCUUCGACAAAGGGAAUUAAAACGCCUGAAGACACCAUUCUCUCACCUUGUUGCAAAAAUCAAAUAGAUACUUUCAUAAGAUUAAAUCUUUUUAUUUUACCGUCUGGCGAUGUUCCGUACAGUGGCAAUUUCAUUUUUUCACUGUUCACAGUUGCUGACAACGUCAAAGUUUCGGUGGAACCGUAUGACUAUAAAUCGAUUUAUGAUUUCAUUAUUUAAUAAUUUUCUUGUGUAAUAUUUACAAACAUUAUUGCAACACGCGCUGGGGAAUUUUUUCUCCAGCAAUUCCAACGUCGUGGGGUCCACGACGGAGCCACCAAGAUAAACGCGUUUCAGAAAACUGAAAUCGUGUUUUUCCAAUUCAUCACAUUUUGCAAGCCAGCUCAUGAUGUACGGGUAGAGAAAAAGUUUCAUCGGCUAAUAACCAUUUUUAUG